UCUAGCAUAAACAGUAUUAGAGGCACUGCCUGCCCGGUGACAUACGUUUAACGGCCGCGGUAUCCUGACCGUGCAAAGGUAGCAUAAUCAUUUGUUCCUUAAAUAGGGACUUGCAUGAAUGGCCAAACGAGGGUUUAACUGUCUCUUACUCCCAAUCAGUGAAAUUGACCUUCCCGUGAAGAGGCGGAAAUAAUCUAAUAAGACGAGAAGACCCUGUGGAGCUUAAAUUUAUUAGUCCAAGCUAUUCCGAAUCCACCCCCACAGGGACAACACACCGCUCAUGGACUAAAAAUUUUGGUUGGGGUGACCUCGGAGUACAAUACAACCUCCGAAUGAUUUUAAUCGAGACAAACCCGUCCAAAUUUUAACUCAUUAAUUGACCCAAACUAUUGAUCAACGGAACAAGUUACCCCAGGGAUAACAGCGCAAUCCUACCCGAGAGUUCAUAUCGACAGUAGGGUUUACGACCUCGAUGUUGGAUCAGGACACCCAAAUGGUGCAGCCGCUAUUAAUGGUUCGUUUGUUCAACGAUUAAAGUC
rnacentral:rRNA from 1 species